rnacentral:rRNA from 1 species
UGAUCGAUGAAUGCCUGAGUGCUUGCACCGGGUGGAUUAGUGGCGAACGGGUGAGUAUCACGUGAGUAACCUGCCCUUGACUCUGGGAUAAGCCCGGGAAACUGGGUCUAAUACCGGAUAUGACCAGUCACCGCAUGGUGUGCUGGUGGAAAGCUUUAGCGGUUUUGGAUGGACUCGCGGCCUAUCAGCUAGACGGUGAGGUAAUGGCUCACCGUGGCGAUGACGGGUAGCCGGCCUGAGAGGGUGACCGGCCACACUGGGACUGAGACACGGCCCAGACUCCUACGGGAGGCAGCAGUGGGGAAUAUUGCACAAUGGGCGCAAGCCUGAUGCAGCGACGCCGCGUGUGGGAUGACGGCCUUCGGGUUGUAAACCACUUUCAGCAGGGAAGAAGCUUUUUGUGACGGUACCUGCAGAAGAAGCGCCGGCUAACUACGUGCCAGCAGCCGCGGUAAUACGUAGGGCGCGAGCGUUAUCCGGAAUUAUUGGGCGUAAAGAGCUCGUAGGCGGUUUGUCACGUCUGCUGUGAAAGCCCGGGGCUUAACCCCGGGUGUGCAGUGGGUACGGGCAGACUGGAGUGCAGUAGGGGAGACUGGAAUUCCUGGUGUAGCGGUGAAAUGCGCAGAUAUCAGA